GACGAACGCUGGCGGCGUGCCUAAUACAUGCAAGUUGAGCGCUGAAGGUUGGUACUUGUACCAACUGGAUGAGCAGCGAACGGGUGAGUAACGCGUGGGGAAUCUGCCUUUGAGCGGGGGACAACAUUUGGAAACGAAUGCUAAUACCGCAUAAAAACUUUAAACACAAGUUUUAAGUUUGAAAGAUGCAAUUGCAUCACUCAAAGAUGAUCCCGCGUUGUAUUAGCUAGUUGGUGAGGUAAAGGCUCAACAAGGCGAUGAUACAUAGCCGACCUGAGAGGGUGAUCGGCAAAAUUGGGAAUGAGAAAAGGCCCAAAAUCCUACGGGAGGCAGCAGUAGGGAAUAUUCGGCAAUGGACGAAAGUCUGAACGAGCAAAGCCGCGGGAGUGAAGAAGGUUUUCGGAUUGUAAAACUCUGUUGGUAGAGAAGAACGUUGGGGAGAGUGGAAAGCUCAUCAAGUGACGGUAACUACCCAGAAAGGGACGGCUAACUACGUG
rnacentral:rRNA from 1 species